CUUUCUCUCCCUUUUUCCUGUAGAAACUUUCUGGAUGACUUCAAGUUCUAGUCACCGCCUCUCUCGCCUCCUCGGGGGACAGAUGUUCCUGGUGGAGAAGUUCACUACACGCUCUCGACUAGAAAGACUGUAAAUUUGGAUGGAAAGAGCUGCACAGAAACUGCAGCCUUUCCCCGGAAACACGUGGCAUGUUUCAAAUGUUAACAAGAUUGAACAGGAAGAAUAUUUUACCACUACAUCCAAAAAGUUCCUCUGAAAUAGCUAUUAGAGAUAAGGAUAAUUAACUGUGCUUCUUUCUCUCCUGUACACUUGUGCAUUAAAGAAGCAUCAUUUCCAAAUGA